rnacentral:rRNA from 1 species
GAUGAACGCUGGCGGCGUGCCUAAUACAUGCAAGUCGAGCGAACAGACGAGGAGCUUGCUCCUCUGACGUUAGCGGCGGACGGGUGAGUAACACGUGGAUAACCUACCUAUAAGACUGGGAUAACUUCGGGAAACCGGAGCUAAUACCGGAUAAUAUAUUGAACCGCAUGGUUCAAUAGUGAAAGACGGUUUUGCUGUCACUUAUAGAUGGAUCCGCGCCGCAUUAGCUAGUUGGUAAGGUAACGGCUUACCAAGGCAACGAUGCGUAGCCGACCUGAGAGGGGGAUCGGCCACACUGGAACUGAGAAACGGUCCAGCAUCCUACGGGAGGCAGCAGUAGGGAAUCUUCCGCAAUGGGCGAAAGCCUGACGGAGCAACGCCGCGUGAGUGAUGAAGGUCUUCGGAUCGUAAAACUCUGUUAUUAGGGAAGAACAAAUGUGUAAGUAACUAUGCACGUCGUGACGGUACCUAAUCAGAAAGCCACGGCUAACUACGU